AUGCUUUCUUCGGCAGUACCUAUACUAAAACUUAAAUGAUACAGAGAUUAGCACAGCCCCUGUGCAAGAAUGACACACAAAUUCAUGAAGUGUUACAUAUUCAU
ensembl:snRNA U6 U6 spliceosomal RNA